GUGUCAGCAGCCGCGGUAAUACGAAGGGGGCUAGCGUUGCUCGGAAUUACUGGGCGUAAAGGGCGCGUAGGCGGAUAUUUAAGUUAGAGGUGAAAGCCCAGGGCUCAACCCUGGAAUAGCCUUUAAUACUGGAUAUCUUGAGUUCGGGAGAGGUGAGUGGAACUCCGAGUGUAGAGGUGAAAUUCGUAGAUAUUCGGAAGAACACCAGUGGCGAAGGCGACUCACUGGCCCGAUACUGACGCUGAGGCGCGAAAGCGUGGGGAGCAAACAGGAUUAGAUACCCUGGUAGUCC
rnacentral:rRNA from 1 species